rnacentral:rRNA from 1 species
AAUCAACGCUGGCGGCGUGCCUAACACAUGCAAGUCGAACGAGAAAGAGGGGGCAACUCCUCGAGUAAAGUGGCGACCGGGUGAGUAACACGUGACUAACCUACACUUGAGCGGGGAAUAACCUUCCGAAAGGAGGGCUAAUACCGCAUAACAUCGCGAGGCGAGAUUCCUUGUGAUCAAAGGAGCAAUUCGCUUAAGGAGGGGGUCGCGGCUGAUUAGCUAGUUGGUGAGGUAACGGCUCACCAAGGCGAUGAUCAGUAUCCGGCCUGAGAGGGCGCACGGACACACUGGAACUGAAGCACGGUCCAGACUCCUACGGGAGGCAGCAGUGGGGAAUUGUGCGCAAUGGGGGAAACCCUGACGCAGCAGCGCCGCGUGGAGGAUGAACGUCUUUGGAUUGUAAACUCCUUUCGAUCGGGACGAUUAUGACGGUACCGGAAGAAGAAGCACCGGCUAACUCUGUGCCAGCCGCCGCAGUAACAC